CUUCCUUGUGGGUUGGCUGUGGCUCGGAAGUGGCGGCUUCCUGGAGCCUGUGUGUCCAUUCCCAACUUCCUUGCAUCUAGAGCCUGUUUACUAGCAUGUCACUGCCUAUCACACAAUAAGGCUGGUGAAAUUCUAUUGAAAUAAUCCAUGUAAAAUGCUCAGUGGAGUGCACGAUACAAGUCAAUUCACUUCAGAAAGUAUCUACCCCCGUGUCCCCAGCAGCACAUUUCAUCCACACCACGAAGCGAACAGAAAGAGACCUAAAGCUUGGUCUAUGUGCUUCUGCCACUCACGUCUGAGGUGUGAUGAAAGAGCACCUGGUUCCCUUAGAAUCACAGAAGUAAAGAAGUAGUUGGGAUUCAUCAGAGCAUGCUGUGCCAGCUUCUCAGAUGAGUGUGUUAGUUAUUUGUAUAUCUGCUUUUGGUGAACUGUCUACAUUAGUAUUUUGGGAGGAGGUUUUUUUUUCUGCUGGUGUCUUGGCAAUGAACUCUUUAGGUAUG
rnacentral:lncRNA from 1 species